GCAGGGUGUAAUGUCAGGGUAAGGUGUAGGCAGGGUGCAGUGUCAGGGUUGGGUGUAGGCAGGGUGCAUGCAAUGUCAGGGUUGGGUGUAGGCAGGGUGCAGUGUCAGUAACAGGCAGGGUGCAGUGUCAAUCAGUGUCAGGGUUGGGUGUAGGCAGGGUGCAGUGUCAAUCGAUGUCAGGGUUGGGUGUAGGCAGGGUGCAGUUUUAGUAGCAGGCAGUGUCAUGCAGUGUCAGGGUUGGGUGUAGGCAGGGUGCAGUGUUAGUAGCAGGCAGUGUCAGUGUCAUGCAGCUACAGGGUUGGGUGUAGGCAGGGUGCAGUGUUAGUAGCAGGCAGUGUCAGUGUCAUGCAGUUUCAGGGUUGGGUAUAGGCAGGUUGCAGUGCAGGUUAAAGGCCUGAAUUGAAAUCACACUAGUAAUGUGUCCACUGGUUCUGCUGUGCACUGCUUGCAUUUCUGACCACUGCUCUGUAUCCUUGCUCCGCACCGCACUGCUUCAUGUAAUGUGCAUGUAUGUACCUGUCACUCCUGUGUCUUACCACGU